rnacentral:rRNA from 1 species
GUCGGGUGUGAAAUUUCGAGGCUUAACUUCGAAACUGCAUUCGAUACUGCCGUGCUUGAGGACUGGAGAGGAGACUGGAAUUUACGGUGUAGCGGUGAAAUGCGUAGAUAUCGUAAGGAAGACCAGUGGCGAAGGCGGGUCUCUGGACAGUUCCUGACGCUGAGGCACGAAGGCCAGGGGAGCAAACGGG